AAAUGAGGCGGGCUGGACCUCUCGGGGUUACAGCCUUGCUGAAUUAUUCACCCUUGUCUUUUGCGUACUUCUUGUUUCCUUGGUGGGUUCGCCCACCACUAGGACAAACAUAAACCUUUUGUAAUUGCAAUCAGCGUCAGUAACAAAUUAAUAAUUACAACUUUCAACAACGGAUCUCUUGGUUCUGGCAUCGAUGAAGAACGCAGCGAAAUGCGAUAAGUAGUGUGAAUUGCAGAAUUCAGUGAAUCAUCGAAUCUUUGAACGCACAUUGCGCCCUUUGGUAUUCCAAAGGGCAUGCCUGUUCGAGCGUCAUUUGUACCCUCAAGCUUUGCUUGGUGUUGGGCGUCUUGUCUCUAGCUUUGCUGGAGACUCGCCUUAAAGUAAUUGGCAGCCGGCCUACUGGUUUCGGAGCGCAGCACAAGUCGCACUCUCUAUCAGCAAAGGUCUAGCAUCCAUUAAGCCUUUUUUUCAACUUUUGACCUCGGAUCAGGUAGGGAUACCCGCUGAACUUAAGCAUAUCAAUAAGCGGAGGAA
rnacentral:rRNA from 1 species